AUUGCAAAACAAAGGCUAGUAUGAGGUCAUAGCAAGUAGCCAACCAAUCAAGAACAGGGAUGAUCAAGCCCAAUGCCAGUCUACAAAAGAUAUUCUCACACUUCUGUCUGGAAACCCUUUAUACUCUGAACUAUUAAGGACCUCAAAUCGCUUUUCUUUAUGCCUGGACAGACAGUCCCACUGCAUCAAGCCAAAAGGACUGGGGCCUCAGUGGAUUUAGCAGCCAGAUCACAAGAGCCAGGAGUCAGUUCCCGAUCCAUAAACCACAAACCCAAUCGCUUUUCCCUGGCCAGGCUGGAGGGCCUUUUGCCAAGCUGUGACUUGCAAAGGGGGUCCAAGGAAAGGAGUUGUAUCUUAGAGUUUCCAGUGACAGGUGCGGAGGACAAAGUUGCCUUGAACAGCACUGGGUGUAGAGAAAGCCCACUCGUGCUCAGAGGCCCGUUCAGUAAUGAGGGGGAAUGGGGGUGUUUACAGACCUCAUCCAGACUCACACCUCAAUGAGCAGAGCCCCAGAGGAGGCAGACCUUUGUAUGGCCAACUUCCCAAAGAACACAGGGGAAAAUAGGCCGAAGCUGCUCAAAACCAGCUUGACUGGUUCUACAGAGAAGCCUCUGGUCUGCUCCGCCUUCCUCAUGUUAAAAAGAAAAAGGUGGCUGGGAGCCAGUCACUGAACACACCCCUCCCUUUCUCCUCUCUCCCCGCCCCCCUUCUUCCACCCUCCUAUCUGUUGUCCCUCAGGAUUCACCUAGCCAUCAAUAUCAGUGUCCGGCUCGCCCUCGCCUACCAAACCUGAGGUUACAUGGCUUUAGAAGUGGAAGGUUCACUAUGUGAUGAGCAAAAGGACACACAUUUGUUUUUGCCCUUUUUGCCGUUUUCUAAUGAAAAACGUAGGGAUAAAUGCAAGUAGGGAGAGGGCACAGGGACUGAGAAACUUCAAACCCUCUAGCAAAGGGCAGACAUACAGAUGAAGGGAUCUACUUCUACACCCUCAAGGAGGAGCAGGUCAAGGGGGCAAGAGAAGGAACUGGAUUGCCUCCUUCUCCGAAAGACGACUGGACACCAAGAGACCAGAUCCUCUCGUGGUGUUUCAGAAUCAGGCCAUCACAGCCUAAAAGACAGCAAUGACAUUCAAUGCCUACACCAAGAGGGCUGUAGCGGGGUGGUGGCAUUCCGCUCCGAGCGUGAGAGAUUUCAGAGUUAACGUCGGGAUACAUGGCCUCUUCCCAUGCCAGAAGUGGGAAACGGGUGUUUUCCUCCCCCACAAAGUUUGUAAAGGCUCCCUCUUCCCUUUGCUGAGACAGAAGGGGAAAAGGCAGAGAUAACACUGCAGUGACUCACUCUCGUUUGAUGAAGGCUGCGAGGAAGCCUGGAGAAUCCAAGCUGUAAGUGCAAAAAGGUACGAAUGCUGGAGUCUCCCAUCAACAGGAGGAAACUCAGCCACCUAUGUGGUUUGUCACCGCUGAACUUCCGCUGAAGGAGGAAGGCCUAGGUUAAACUCCACCCACCCUUUCCACAUCCUUCUCGGUUUCUGCUUUGAUAGGAAAGUGCAAACCCGGCAGCACCAGAGGCUACAAGAGAAUCAAGCCCUUUCUCUACCUCCUCUCAUAGCAAAAGCCUAGCAGCCACAGUCCACAGCUUAACUAAGCAGACGGAGCUGGGGCUGGCCCUGGUGACUGCAGGAAAGCCUCACCAGGCAGUCUUGGGGAAGGAAGGACAACCACCCUCCUCGCCCUUCCCAUCUGCGGAGGUUACUUCAUCCCAAUCCAUUAAUGGGCUUCAAAGUGCUGCUGUGGUGGGGGGGGGGGGAGCCCAUUUAGCAGAGCUAUCAUGGGGCCAAAGGUGGCGCCCAGCCCCCACCCCACUCGUCGAUAAUGGGCCACAGAGUCUGAGGCUUGGCUGCACUCUAGGCAUAAAAUAUUCAUUCCCGUCGACAUAAUACAUAUGUAGGAAAGUCAUGGAAGCUCCUGGGAGGAGAGAAGUGCCAGCCAGGUGGCUGAGUGUGCAAUGGGAAAGAGUUCGUGAAGGCACGGGUUAGUCCUGGUCAAAUGCCCACCGAGAGCUGGGCCGUUCCGUCCAAAGGGGAGACGGUCUGGUCUGAGAAGUUUUUGACUCCCAUGAGACCUAACGAUGCAAACCUCUCAGGCAAACAAAUUCUCAAUUUCUUCCUACCUCACAGGCAUCAGUUAAGACACUGACCAUGAAAAGAAAUCUCAGGCCCAGUCUUUGGUCACCAUCUGAAAGAUGCAGUCAUCCCUGUGUGAACUUGAUUUUAAUCUAAAGCAGACCAAGUUUCAACGACUGUCUUGAAUCCGUCUGUUUAGCUACUUCCCAAAGCCCACACAUUAGAGAGAAAUUAUCACAAUUUACUAAGUGGUUACCUUCACUGGGUUCAAAGAUCACGGUAUGGCGAGCGACUCUGUGAUCUCUAGACUCCCAGAGCCCUCGCUCUAACGAGGCCUCACUCUUAAUUUCUAGGGCCACGCAGGAAGCGAGAACGUAUGCUCUGACGUCCACCCACAUCCCUGACCAGAAGGCAGCCCCACUAAGGAGCCCUUGGCCAGAGUCAAAGGGCAGAAGUCAGAGUCCGUACGCAGAGCACAGCACCGCCCGGCUCACAGGCAUGGAGUGAAAUGAGAGCCACCCGAGCUCUCUACCAGAGGAGACACUAAAACCAAAUUAUUCAGCGUUGGCAACGUUCAGCCAGAAUCAACCCUGGCAUCCAAGGGAGAUGUGUCUGGAGCGGCUCGGUUGUUCUUUACAGGAUUCCGUAAGUCAGCUUUGCUCACUUCAUCCAGACUUCCACACUCCUCUUCCUAGAACCACCCAAGAGAAUAAACAAUGCUACUCGCACCCGAGAAGAACGAGAGCAACCCCCCUCCCUUGCGCACUGCAGCAGAAGCGAGGCCGGUAGUGAAAGCCUCCGAAAGCCUCCUCUUUUCCCUCGGAAGCCCCGGAAGCCCUCUCGCUCGUGGUUCCUGAGGCCCAGAGGUGGGGCGGCCCCCCUCCCAGGUGUUCCACGUAGUAGCGGCAGGUGAACUCUGGGAAGCCGGACCCCUCUCCGCACCUGCCUAGCCUAUUGUUGCCGCCGCCGCUGGCUGGAGGACAGGCAUCCUACAUGCUGAUUGCUGUCACCACAGCCAAGCCUCCAGGCCAGCAGAGCCAUUCGGAGAACUGGACAGAAAGCUCAGCUCACAGACUGAGAAUCCCCAAAACUACCAGCCCCAGGUCACAACCCUCCUGCAAAAGAAAGAAGAGUCUAGAGCUGGGAAAAAAGCACAUUCGAAACCAGGUGUCACAAAAAUCAUCUUAAAGAGGGGGGCUUGACUUUCUUUUAGCUCCCACUUCCAGUGCUAGGAGCAGAAUCCGACAGCAAACAGGCAAUCUUCCUGCAGUACAAGGUUUAUUUUUAUGCUUCAACAUUUUCUGUGUGUGUGUGUGUGUGUGUGUGUGUGUGUUAUGUGUGUUUAAUUCAGAUGUGAUCAAAGAGCUCCUGGAAACAGCUUCUCAUCAGCCACAUGUUUUAAAGAAAGGGGGAGAGGAAGAGCUAAAAAAGAGAUUGGAGCUUGAAGACAACCAGUAGAGUUUACCCAUUUCCUGGGGAAACCAGCUUAAAUAAUUUAAACCUAAACACAGUGAUAGAGAAUCUUUGCAGGGAGGGGAUCAGCCCAACCAAACCCCUUGCUUUUUAUUUCAUAACGUUAGGAUUUACCGCAACGACUGAACUUCUGUGACUAUUUCAACUAGAACAGCGACAGGACUGAGAGCGUCCUUGCUCUUACCUGGUGACAACGAGCUAUUCUAAAGGAGGCCAAUGCUUCUGGCAUCCCUGGCCUCGUGACGCGAGGGGCUGCUACGUGUCUUUUCUCUUGGUUUGAAAAAUACGGGCAUCUGCCGGUAUAUCCAAGCUUUUUCAAAGGCUGCGCUGUCACCGGGACGAGACUUAAUAUCGAGCAAAUAGUAUGCCUGGCUACCUUGAGGACGGGCAGCAGAAGCGAUGAAGUGGCUCAGGGGAGCCUAAGUCCACAAAGAGUGCAAACAGGAUGAGUAAUUCAUAAUUUGGAACAGGACGACAAAGUAUGCAGCCGUGGCUCUAGACGAAGUUAGCGAAGGGGCAGCUUCCGUUCCCGACCGGCUCACCCGAUUAGCUCGCACCGAAUCAGCGGGUGUGCACCGACUUCCUACUAUGCGCUCAGCAGUAUUCGAGGCAUGUAGGGAAGAGAGGAAAUCAAUGCACACAUCACAAGAAAAAAAAAAAAGACCACGGCGGGAAUACAUUUACAUUUGGUAAACAGCACAAAGAAACCACAUUGAGGCAGUCUGUUACUCUACUUUGCUGAACACAAUGCCCCCCACAGCCUCGCGGAGAGAGUAGGCACUCCACAACCACUCCCCACAUGCCUAAGGGUGCCAGUCAGUCACUUGGCCUCCUCCUACCAGCUCAUAAUCAACAGUCUGGGAAAGUUCUCUGGUGAGCAGGGCUUACCUGCUAACACAGAGGGUGCGACAGGAAAAGGAAUGGAAUGGGGAACCUCAAGAGAGCCUAGAAAAAGAGGUUCCCGGCAAGGAGAGAAAACAGCCGGCAAGUGAGGGCCAGACCCUGAGAUACAGACCAUGCUCUGGUUUCCAAAGACCUCAGUCCCAUGCAGAGCCAGUUGCAAAACCCAGCGAGGAAACAGAAAUUCACCAUCCCUCCCCCUCAACUCAUUUCACCCCCAGAAGCAAUCAAUCCGUCCGUAACGAAAGGGUCAACCAGCACAGAGAAAAACUCGGGGCCACAAUUGCUUGUGGAGCUCCUGACUGCCCAGGUGACAGAGAGCAAGGGGGGGGGGGGGGG